AGUGAACGCUGGCGGUAGGCCUAACACAUGCAAGUCGAACGGCCGCACAGUAAGCGUUCGCCCUUACGGGUGGCGAGUGGCGGAUGGGUGACGCAUACAUAGCCAUCCACUUUUUCGUGGGGGACAACGUAGGGCCACAUACGCUAAUACAGCAUAUGACCUACCGGUUAAAGCAAGGGUUCUUCGGACUUUUCCUGUCUCUAUGAGCUGAUGCCGGAUUAGCUAGUUGGCGGGGUAAAGGCCCACCAAGGCGACGAUCCGUAGCUGGUCUGAGAGGAUGAUCAGCCACACUGGAACUGAGACACGGUCCAGACUCCUACGGGAGGCAGCAGUGGGGAAUAUUGCGCAAUGGGCGCAAGCUUGAUGCAGCCAUGCCGCGUGAGUGAAGAAGGCCUUCGGAUUGUAAAACCCUGUUGUUGGGGAAGAAAAGCAGCAGGUGUAUACCCGGCUGUUCUGACGGUACCCAAAGAGAAAGCACCGGCUAACUUCGUG
rnacentral:rRNA from 1 species